rnacentral:misc_RNA from 1 species
AACGCACAUUGCGCCUCUUGGUAUUCCGAGGGGCAUGUCUGUUUGAGCGUCAGCACCAACUCUCUUUCUUUAAAUUUUUUUGUUGAAGAAAUGAGGUCUUGGGGGUGUCAUAGCCCUUUAAUAUUGAACGCUUGCAAGCUUUUAAACUGAACUUGAUGUAGUAAAACUUUUCUCAUCUACGAAGGUUUAAAAAAGUUUGCCUGAAAUCUCUAAAACUGUAUGUUUUGACCUCAGAUCAGACAAGGAUACCCGCUGAACUUAA